AAACCGACACAGGUAGGCGAGGAGAGAAUCCUAAGGCGCUCGAGAGAACUCUCGCUAAGGAACUCGGCAAAAUUACCCCGUAACUUCGGGAGAAGGGGUGCUUUGAGUAGGGUUUCUGAAAAAAGCCGCAGUGAAAUGGCCCAUGCGACUGUUUACUAAAAACACAGGUCUCUGCUAAAUCGUAAGAUGAUGUAUAGGGACUGACGCCUGCCCGGUGCCAAAAAGUUAAGGUGAGGAGUGAAGGGUAACCGGAAGCUCCGAACUGAAGCUCUGGUAAACGGCGGCCGUAACUAUAACGGUCCUAAGGUAGCGAAAUUCCUUGUCGGGUAAGUUCCGACCUGCACGAAUGGCGUAACGACAUGGGCACUGUCUCGGCGAGAGACUCGGUGAAAUUGUAAUACCGGUGAAGAUGCCGGUUACCCAUACCAAGACGGAAAGACCCCGUGAACCUUUACUAUAGUUUGAUAUUGGGUUUUAAUGUUGCAUGUGUAGGAUAGGUGGGAGACUAUGAUAUUGGGGCGCCAGCCUCAGUGGAGUCGCACUUGAAAUACCACUCUUGUUGCAUUGGAAUUCUAACUCCGGCACGUGAAUCCGUGCCGAGGACAGUGUCAGAUGGGUAGUUUGACUGGGACGGUCGCCUCCCAAAAUGUAACGGAGGCACCCUAAGGUUCCCUCAGUGCGAUUGGAAACCGCGCGUAGAGUGUAAAGGCAGAAGGGAGCUUAACUGCGAGACGGACGCGUCGAGCAGAUGCGAAAGCAGGGCUUAGUGAUCUUACGGUGCUGUGUGGAAAGGCCGUAACUCAUUGGAUAAAAGGUACUCCGGGGAUAACAGGCUAGUCGCCCCCAAGAGCUCACAUCAACGGGGCGGUUCGGCACCUCGAUGUCGGCUCGUCACAUCCUGGGGCAGAAGCAUGUCCCAAGGGUUCGGCUGUCCGCCGAUUAAAGUGGCACGCGAGCUGGGUUUAGAACGUCGUAAGACAGUUCGGUCCCUAUCUGGUAUGGGCGUAGGAUAUUUGAGAGAUGCUGCCCCUAGUAUGAGAAGACCGGGGUGGAUGUACCUCUAGUGCACCAGUUGUCACGCCAGUGGCACCGCUGGGUAGCUAUGUGCAGAGCGGAGAAACGCUGAAUGCAUCUAAGCGUGAAGCCCGCCUCAAGAUAAGAUAUCCCACAACGUUAAGUUGGUAAGGCUCCUUCGAGAUAAGAAGGUUGAUAGGCCAGGUGUGUACGCCGUGUGAGCGGUUCAGCUAACUGGUACUAAUAAGCCGAGGGCUUGAU
rnacentral:rRNA from 1 species